rnacentral:snoRNA from 2 species
ACCCGGGCUGAUAACUGGAUGGAUUGUCUGAACACUGUCUCUCUCUGUCUUUUAAUUGUCCGGGAAAUUAAUAAAGGCACUUACACGCUGUCACUGAAACCCUCUGGUGUUCGGUGUUUAUAUGCCGGUUACAUUCCUCCUUAUUU